rnacentral:rRNA from 1 species
AGUGAACGCUGGCGGUAGGCCUAACACAUGCAAGUCGAACGGCAGCACAGUAGGAGCUUGCUCUUACGGGUGGCGAGUGGCGGACGGGUGAGGAAUACAUCGGAAUCUACUUUUUCGUGGGGGUUACGGAAGGAAGCUUUCGCUUAUUCCCCAAUCGAACUACGGGUGAAAAGCAGGGGUUCUUCGGACUUGCCCGGAUGGAUGAGCCGAUGUCGGAUUAGCUAGUUGGCGGGGUAAAGGCCCACCAAGGCGACGAUCCGUAGCUGGUCUGAGAGGAUGAUCAGCCACACUGGAACUGAGACACGGUCCAGACUCCUACGGGAGGCAGCAGUGGGGAAUAUUGGACAAUGGGCGCAAGCCUGAUCCAGCCAUACCGCGUGGGUGAAGAAGGCCUUCGGGUUGUAAAGCCCUUUUGUUGGGAAAGAAAAGCAGCAGGUUAAUACCCCGCUGUUCUGACGGUACCCAAAGAAUAAGCACCGGCUAACUUCGUG